rnacentral:rRNA from 1 species
AUUGAACGCUGGCGGCAGGCUUAACACAUGCAAGUCGAGCGGAGAUGAGGUGCUUGCACCUUAUCUUAGCGGCGGACGGGCGAGUAAUGCUUAGGAAUCUGCCUAUUAGUGGGGGACAACAUUCCGAAAGGAAUGCUAAUACCGCAUACGUCCUACGGGAGAAAGCAGGGGAUCUUCGGACCUUGCGCUACUAGAUGAGCCUAAGUCGGAUUAGCUAGUUGGUGGGGUAAAGGCCUACCAAGGCGACGAUCUGUAGCGGGUCUGAGAGGAUGAUCCGCCACACUGGGACUGAGACACGGCCCAGACUCCUACGGGAGGCAGCAGUGGGGAAUAUUGGACAAUGGGGGGAACCCUGAUCCAGCCAUGCCGCGUGUGUGAAGAAGGCCUUAUGGUUGUAAAGCACUUUAAGCGAGGAGGAGGCUACUGAGACUAGUACUCUUGGAUAGUGGACGUUACUCGCAGAAUAAGCACCGGCUAACUCUGUGCCAGCAGCCGCAGUAACAC